rnacentral:rRNA from 1 species
UACGGGGGGGGCAAGCGUUGUUCGGAAUUACUGGGCGUAAAGGGCGCGUAGGCGGCCUCUGCAAGUCGACUGUGAAAUCUCCGGGCUUAACCCGGAAAGGUCAGCCGAUACUGCAGGGCUAGAGUGCAGAAGGGGCAACUGGAAUUCUCGGUGUAGCGGUGAAAUGCGUAGAUAUCGAGAGGAACACCUGCGGCGAAGGCGGGUUGCUGGGCUGACACUGACGCUGAAGUGCGAAAGCUAGGGGAGCGAACGGG